AUUGAACGCUGGCGGCAGGCCUAACACAUGCAAGUCGAGCGGAUGAAGGGAGCUUGCUCCUGGAUUCAGCGGCGGACGGGUGAGUAAUGCCUAGGAAUCUGCCUGGUAGUGGGGAUAACGUCCGGAAACGGGCGCUAAUACCGCAUACGUCCUGAGGGAGAAAGUGGGGGAUCUUCGGACCUCACGCUAUCAGAUGAGCCUAGGUCGGAUUAGCUAGUUGGUGGGGUAAAGGCCUACCAAGGCGACGAUCCGUAACUGGUCUGAGAGGAUGGUCAGUCACACUGGAACUGAGACACGGUCCAGACUCCUACGGGAGGCAGCAGUGGGGAAUAUUGGACAAUGGGCGAAAGCCUGAUCCAGCCAUGCCGCGUGUGUGAAGAAGGUCUUCGGAUUGUAAAGCACUUUAAGUUGGGAGGAAGGGCAGUAAGUUAAUACCUUGCUGUUUUGACGUUACCAACAGAAUAAGCACCGGCUAACUUCGUG
rnacentral:rRNA from 1 species